rnacentral:rRNA from 1 species
CAGGCCGGCAGCUAUACAUGCAGUCGAGCGGACAGAUGGGAGCUUGCUCCCUGAUGUUAGCGGCGGACGGGUGAGUAACACGUGGGUAACCUGCCUGUAAGACUGGGAUAACUCCGGGAAACCGGGGCUAAUACCGGAUGGUUGUUUGAACCGCAUGGUUCAAACAUAAAAGGUGGCUUCGGCUACCACUUACAGAUGGACCCGCGGCGCAUUAGCUAGUUGGUGAGGUAACGGCUCACCAAGGCAACGAUGCGUAGCCGACCUGAGAGGGUGAUCGGCCACACUGGGACUGAGACACGGCCCAGACUCCUACGGGAGGCAGCAGUAGGGAAUCUUCCGCAAUGGACGAAAGUCUGACGGAGCAACGCCGCGUGAGUGAUGAAGGUUUUCGGAUCGUAAAGCUCUGUUGUUAGGGAAGAACAAGUACCGUUCGAAUAGUUGUGGUACCUUGACGGUACCUAACCAGAAAGCCACGGCUAACUACGUGCCAGCAGCCGCGGUAAUACGUAGGUGGCAAGCGUUGUCCGGAAUUAUUGGGCGUAAAGGGCUCGCAGGCGGUUUCUUAAGUCUGAUGUGAAAGCCCCCGGCUCAACCGGGGAGGGUCAUUGGAAACUGGGGAACUUGAGUGCAGAAGAGGAGAGUGGAAUUCCACGUGUAGCGGUGAAAUGCGUAGAGAUGUGGAGGAACACCAGUGGCGAAGGCGACUCUCUGGUCUGUAACUGACGCUGAGGAGCGAAAGCGUGGGGAGCGAACAGGAUUAGAUACCCUGGUAGUCCACGCCGUAAACGAUGAGUGCUAAGUGUUAGGGGGUUUCCGCCCCUUAGUGCUGCAGCUAACGCAUUAAAGCACUCCGCCUGGGGGAGUACGGUCGCAAGACUGAAACUCAAGGGAAUUGACGGGGGCCCGCACAAGCGGGUCGAAGCAUGGUGGUAUAAAUUCGAAGCAACGCGAAGAACCUUUACCCAGGUCUUGACAUCCUCUGACAAUCCCUAGAAGAUAGGGACGUUCCCCUUCGGGGGCCAGCAGUGAACAGGAUGGGUGCCAUGGAUUGUCCGCUCAAGCAUCUAUGUCGUGGAGACUGCUAGGGAUAACGUUCGGCAACCGAAGCGCAGCCGUGGAUCUGAUGACCAGCAGUUCCAGUAA